rnacentral:sRNA from 1 species
CGACUUCAAUCUGUUGCGGACUAAUAAAAUGAAUAUGCGCAUCAAUCGCUCCAGCUGUAACCAUUUUUCCUUCACAAGCCAUUACUUCAGUCGAUGCACCGACAAUUAAGUGUUCAUCCACACCUUCCAUAACAUCGGGAUUCCCUCCUUUACCAAUUCCAACAAUACGCCCGUCUUUGAUUCCGAUAUCCGCUUUAACAAUGCCGGUAUAAUCAAUAAUUAAGGCAUUGGUUAACAAUAAAUCCAGCACACCUUCAUCUCUUGUUUUCGUACUACUUUGCCCCAUGCCGUCUCG